rnacentral:rRNA from 1 species
GCAAUACGUCAGCGGCAGACGGGUGAGUAACGCGUGGGAACGUACCUUUUGGUUCGGAACAACACAGGGAAACUUGUGCUAAUACCGGAUAAGCCCUUACGGGGAAAGAUUUAUCGCCGAAAGAUCGGCCCGCGUCUGAUUAGCUAGUUGGUGAGGUAAUGGCUCACCAAGGCGACGAUCAGUAGCUGGUCUGAGAGGAUGAUCAGCCACAUUGGGACUGAGACACGGCCCAAACUCC